UACAGAGGGGGCAAGCGUUGUCCGGAAUUACUGGGCGUACAGCGUGCGCAGGCGGCCGUGUAUGUGCCGAGUGACAAAUCCGCGCUUAACGCGGAAGGGUCUCGGUAGACAGCAGGGCUGGAGGCCUUGAGAGGGAAGUGGAAUGCCCGGUGGAGCGGUGAAAUGCGUAGAGAUCGGGCGGAACACCAGGGGCGCAGGCGGCUUCCUGGCAAGGACCUGACGCUGAGGCACGAAAGCGUGGGGAGCGAACGGG
rnacentral:rRNA from 1 species